rnacentral:rRNA from 1 species
AACGAACGCUGGCGGCAUGCCUAACACAUGCAAGUCGAACGAGACCUUCGGGUCUAGUGGCGCACGGGUGCGUAACGCGUGGGAACCUGCCCUUAGGUUCGGAAUAACUCCCCGAAAGGGGUGCUAAUACCGGAUAAUGUCUUCGGACCAAAGAUUUAUCGACUUUGGAUGGGCCCGCGUUGGAUUAGCUAGUUGGUAGGGUAAAAGCCUACCAAGGCGACGAUCCAUAGCUGGUCUGAGAGGAUGAUCAGCCACACUGGGACUGGGACACGGCCCAGACUCCUACGGGAGGCAGCAGUGGGGAAUAUUGGACAAUGGGCGAAAGCCUGAUCCAGCAAUGCCGCGUGAGUGAUGAAGGCCUUAGGGUUGUAAAGCUCUUUUACCCGGGAUGAUAAUGACAGUACCGGGAGAAUAAGCUCCGGCUAACUCCGUG